CUUAUGGCUUUGAUUUGGUGCGUGGAACUAAAUCUCUCGACUUGAUCAAGAGUGAAUUUCCCAAGGGCAAAUACCUAUUUGCUGGAGUGGUUGAUGGAAGGAACAUUUGGGCCAAUGAUCUUGCUUCUUCUCUCAGCACCCUGCAUGAACUUGAGGGCAUUGUUGGCAAAGGUACUGAUUAUUAUUUGCAUCUGUUGCAACACAUGCUGAUUUAUUUUUCAUCAUAACACAAGUUAAUUCAUGAUUUAUGUUAUCUUGCUUGUCAUGAACUUGAGGGCAUUGUGGGCAAAGGUACUGAUUAUUAUUUGCAUCUUUUGCAACACAUGCUGAUUUAUUUUUCAUCAUAACACAAGUUAAUUCAUGAUUUAUGUUAUCUUGCAGACAAGCUUGUAGUAUCCAC
rnacentral:lncRNA from 1 species